rnacentral:rRNA from 1 species
GACGAACCGUGCGAACGUUGUUCGGAAUCACUGGGCUUAAAGGGCGCGUAGGCGGGCCACCAAGUCUGGGGUGAAAUCUUUCGGCUUAACCGGAAAAUUGCCUGGGAUACUGGUGGUCUGGAGGGUGGUAGGGGCAGGUGGAACUUCCGGUGGAGCGGUGAAAUGCGUUGAUAUCGGAAGGAACGCCGGUGGCGAAAGCGACCUGCUGGACCACUACUGACGCUGAGGCGCGAAAGCCAGGGGAGCAAACGGG